rnacentral:lncRNA from 10 species
GAGACAGCUCUGACCACUCCCACUCCAAGACCUCAGUACCAAAACCCCUAAGCCUUCUCGGAAGGAGAGAAGGGACAGAAGACUGAGGAAAGAGAUGAUGGAUAUCUGCACAGAUAUGUGGCUGUGAAAAUUACAAGAAAUUAAUAAUAAUAGCUCUAUCUCUUCAAACCUGGCUGCAGAGUGAAACUCAGCCUUCCCAGCCCUCACAUCCCUGAUGCUUCUGAGGACAAUCCUGCAGGCCCUUUUGGUUCUGAGAACCUGCUGAUUGCUGUCAGAAACUGAAGUGAAAGUGGCAGGUACCAAAUGUAGGAGGCUGCAGUUUCCAGAAUCUUACACCUUCCUCUCUGGCAUGGUCUCCUGGGUGUAUUUUCUGACUCUUUUCUGGAAGGUGCAAUGGAAGCCACAUGGAACUUGAUUUCUCCAUGAAUUCCUGAGUGGGGCUCAGCAAACCAAACUCAUUGGACUGACCU